AUACUUACCUGGCAGGGAAGAGAUACAUGAUCUCAGGUUGGUUUCCCUGAAUGAGGCUCAUCAAUUUCAUUGGAGAUAUGCUGAAUCCUGGGAUUUCCCCAAAUUCAGGAAACUCAACUGCAUUAUUUGUAAUAAUGGGGGACCAUGUUCAAGUUCUCCAC
rfam:Neotoma lepida isolate 417 scaffold_104, whole genome shotgun sequence.